rnacentral:rRNA from 1 species
GACGAACGCUGGCGGCAGGCCUAACACAUGCAAGUCGAGCGGCAGCGGGAAAGUAGCUUGCUACUUUUGCCGGCGAGCGGCGGACGGGUGAGUAAUGCCUGGGAAAUUGCCCAGUCGAGGGGGAUAACAGUUGGAAACGACUGCUAAUACCGCAUACGCCCUACGGGGGAAAGCAGGGGACCUUCGGGCCUUGCGCGAUUGGAUAUGCCCGGGUGGGAUUAGCUUGUUGGUGAGGUAAUGGCUCACCAAGGCGACGAUCCCUAGCUGGUCUGAGAGGAUGAUCAGCCACACUGGAACUGAGACACGGUCCAGACUCCUACGGGAGGCAGCAGUGGGGAAUAUUGCACAAUGGGGGAAACCCUGAUGCAGCCAUGCCGCGUGUGUGAAGAAGGCCUUCGGGUUGUAAAGCACUUUCAGCGAGGAGGAAAGGUUGAUGCCUAAUACGCAUCAGCUGUGACGUUACUCGCAGAAGAAGCACCGGCUAACUCCGUGCCAGCAGCCGCAGUAAAAC